rnacentral:rRNA from 1 species
UACGUAGGCGGAAAAUUAAGUCAGUAGUGAAAUCCUGCAGCUUAACUGUAGAACUGUUAUUGAUACUGGUUUUCUUGAAUUUAGUUGAGGUAGGCGGAAUGUGUAAUGUAGCGGUGAAAUACUUAGAUAUUACACAGAACACCGAUUGCGAAGGCAGCUUACUAAGCUAUGAUUGACGCUGAGGUACGAAAGCGUGGGGAGCGAACAGGAUUAGAUACCCUGGUAGUCC